GGGUAGGGGAAAGGACACCCACGCUUUCUUCCUGCUUCAAGCAUCCCAGCUCUCACUCUCUUUUUUCUCUAGUUUUGCAGCUCAAAAGCCCUGGAACAACUGCAGCUGGCAUCAGCAGCUUGGCACCAUCGGGAACUCCUUGUGUCUGCCGGCCCUUCCCUUUGUCCUUCCAGCAGGUGCACGAGCAGAGCUGGCUGGCCUGGAGCAGGCAGGACGUCAGUCGUCAGUCGGAGGGACCGUGGGGCACCCUUGUGC
rnacentral:lncRNA from 1 species